rnacentral:lncRNA from 1 species
CCGGGAUCGAACCAGGGUCUGUAGUGACACCUCUAGCACUGAGAUGCAGUGCCUGAGCCCUCUGUGCCACUCGCGAGUUAGAGGUGUAAACUUCCAUUUCUCAAUCUAAGCUGCAUUUACAGUGUAGAUGAUGGUACAUUAGGUCACUAUUUAUUCGUAAGUGACUACAAUGACGUUUUUCUCCAUUUCAGUCUCUCUCUCUCUCUCUCCCCUCUCUCUCUGUCUCUCUCUCUCUCUCUCUCCCCUCUCUCUCUCUCUCUCUCUCCCCUCUCUCUCUCCCCCCACUCUCUCUCUCUCUCUCUCUCUCUCUCGCUCUCUCUCUCUCGCUCUCUCUCUCUCUCUCUCCCCCCUCCCCCCUCUCUCCCUCUCUCCCCCUCCCCCUCUCUCUGUCUCUCGCUCUCUCUGCUGUUUUCAUAAUAAACAACCAAGUGUUUUUUUUAAGCCGUCUUUGAGUCUUCUUGACGGUAUGUGAUUCGCUCCAAGCUAAGAUAUUAACUAUUUUGGCAACAUAAAAAAAAAACUUUGAAACAAAAUUAAUGGGAGCGUCCUUAGACGUUCAUCUCAUUGCAUUAGACCUAUUCAUGUUGGAUCUUUUCGAUACUACCAGUAUAUUAAUUGAUUACAGCAUAUCGUCAUGGAACCAGGAUAUCAAGUUUUAUGUGUAAUUAAACAGUAAUCCCAUCAGGUUUUAUGUGUAAUGUAACAGUAAUCUCAUCAGGUUUUAUGUGUAAUUAAACAGUAAUCCCAUCAGGUUUUAUGUGUAAUUAAAUAGUAAUCUCAUCAGGUUCUAUGUGUAAUUAAAUAGUAAUCUCAUCAGGUUUUGUGUAAUGUAACAGUAAUCCCAUCAGGUUGUAUGUGUAAUUAAACAGUAAUCUCAUCAGGUUGUAUGUGUAACUAAACAGUAAUCCCAUCAGGUUUUAUGUGUAAUUAAACAGUAAUCCCAUCAGGUUUCAUGUGUAAUUAAAUAGUAAUCCCAUCAGGUUUUAUGUGUAAUUAAAUAGUAAUCUCAUCAGGUUUUGUGUAAUGUAACAGUAAUCUCAUCAGGUUUUAUGUGUAAUUAAACAGUAAUCUCAUCAAGUUGUAUGUUUAAUUAAACAGUAAUCCCAUCAGGUUUUAUGUGUAAUUAAACAGUAAUUCCAUUGUAUCUCCUCGUCGUACAAGAUUUAUACAUAUGUCAAACAAAAGAUUUUACAAAGAAUCUUGAAAAUACUAAAGGCAAGUGAUUUAGCAUGGGCUGAAGGAGGCUUUGUAGCCGUCUGGGUUUAGAAAGGUAGAAAGAUGUGCUUGAUUUAGAAACUGCCGUUUUAAAAAGUGCCAGUGAUGCUUACCUGUGCAUUCAGGUGUUCUAGAAUGUCUUCAUUCAGGUGUUCUAGAAUGUCUGCAUUCAGGUGUGUGUCAUUCAG